rnacentral:rRNA from 1 species
GGAAUAUUGGACAAUGGGCGCAAGCCUGAUCCAGCAAUGCCGCGUGUGUGAAGAAGGCCUUCGGGUUGUAAAGCACUUUUGUACGGGAAGAAAUCCCAUUGCCUAAUACGUGCUGGGGAUGACGGUACCGUAAGAAUAAGCACCGGCUAACUUCGUGCCAGCGGCCGCGGUAAUACGAAGGGUGCAAGCGUUAAUCGGAAUUACUGGGCGUAAAGCGUGCGUAGGCGGGUUGUUAAGUCCGAUGUGAAAGCCCUGGGCUCAACCUGGGAAUGGCAUGGGAUACUGGCGAGCUAGAGUGCGGUAGAGGGGUGCGGAAUUCCCGGUGUAGCGGUGAAAUGCGUAGAGAUCGGGAGGAACAUCCGUGGCGAAGGCGGCACCCUGGACCAGCACUGACGCUCAUGCACGAAAGCGUGGGGAGCAAAC